GCUGGUGUGGUGGUGCAUGCCUGUAGUCCCAGCUACUUGGGAGGUUGAGAUAGGAGGAUCCCUUGAGCCCAGGAGUCCUGGGCCAGCCUGGGCAACACAGUGGGACCCUGUCUCUU
rnacentral:SRP_RNA from 1 species